UACAGAGGUGGCAAGCGUUGUUCGGAAUUACUGGGCGUAAAGGGCGCGUAGGCGGUCCGAUAAGUCCCGUGUGAAAUCCCUCGGCUCAACUGAGGAAUGGCACGGGAAACUGACGGGCUUGAGUUCGGGAGAGGGAAGCGGAAUUCCGGGUGUAGCGGUGAAAUGCGUAGAUAUCAGGAGGAACACCGAUUGCGAAGGCAGCUCGCUGGGACGUAACUGACGCUGAGACGCGAAAGCGUGGGGAGCAAACAGG
rnacentral:rRNA from 1 species